AAGCAAGUAACUUAGUGGAUAGAGUGUCAGAUUCCGAUUCUGAAAGUCGCUGGUUCGAAUCCAGUCUUGCUUG
rnacentral:tRNA from 1 species